GGUUUUUAAAUGGCCAUGGAAGAACAAUGGAUUGCCUUCAAUUAAUGGACACGUUUAUGUUAUUUCUUUUAUUAAUUACACUUUAGAAAAUCGGCGCCAAAAGAGCUUGAUGAGCUCAUAUUUAAAAACUCACAAUGAUGAACAGGCAGCCAUGCUCUCCACUCCCACAAACCACUUAGCCAGCUGAGGGGACAGUAUUAUUUUAACACUAAAUAUUGUGAGGAAGACCUAAGGUAAGACUUCCUAAAAAGGAUAUGCUUUUAUUUAUCUCGGGGGUACGGCUUCCCCGCCUGUUGAUAAGGCUGAGCUUUAAUUGAACAGCGUGCGAGGGGCUAAGCUGCAUUUUCCCUUUACGCUGCGAUUGAGUUGAAGUGGCCUGGCGCAGCUAGGAACUGGAGUCUCACCUCGUUCCCCCAGCUACCUGUUUAUCAGCACUUUCCUCCGGACCCCCAUCACCUACCCUCAGGACACCUCGUAAAAACCUACCCGGGCAUCUUAGGAACAUGGAUUUGACACAUUCUUUACGGUUACUUUCGUCGGCUCUUUUCAAUAAAAUCAAAACAAAAAAUAACUGAAAAAUAAUUAUGUCUACCCGGGCAUCAGACCAUCCCAUAAAUGUCUACGGGUGAUUGCGAAGUAGACCUUUCGGCAGAUACAAAUAGCAUUAUACCUCCGGGUUUUGACCGUUAAAGGCAUUGCAUGCGCUGAUCUUCUCCGUUGGAGUAUUCUGGGUGGAAUAUAAGAUGGGGAAUAUCCUGAUAUCCACAAUGAACUCGGAACCUCGAGUAUCUCCAGAGCAUAUUGGAAAAUAGAUUGCAGUAUAAAGGAACGAACUGUGCUGAAGUGAAAAUUAAGAAAGUGCGACACCUGCUGUUGGUCAGGAGCCGCAACACCGUUUUAAAUCAAAGCCGAGUGCUGAUCGUUUGACUUGUAUGUGAUAAUGCCUUGGUAAUGUUUCACAAACGAUAUCACGACGUGCAACGAGUAAGGUGGAGACAAAAUCUUCUGAAGUGUUAUUUGUCUCUGGCUCUUUUCAUAAACCAUCUCAUUCAUGUUUUAGUGCGGUGGCACAGAUUAUGAGACAUAAAGACGGUCCCAGUCAAUAGGCUUUCAAACACAGUUGAAAUUAUCGUGCGCUGCAGAGUCCAUGAAUUGUGGACCAUUUUUUUGUGAUAAACUUUACUACCUUGUGAAAGAAGUCUUUUAGCCUGGAAGAUUAAAAACCAAAAUCUAAAAAAGUGACCAAUGAGUCGUCAUUUGGUGGCACCCUGUCCUGAUGCAACUGCAUUAGUGUAGGGAGAAAAAAAAAAGUGAAACAGCUUAUGCCAAUAAAAUAGACUUGAUUCUACAACUCAACUAAACAUUUCUGGGAGGGAAGGAUACACCUCCUUGUAAGUCAACACCCUAUGAACGUCAAAAUGAUUCAAUUCAUGCUAACAUAACAUGUGAUUCUACCGUGUACAUAUUUCGUGCGCACGUAGCGAUCUUUUGCCCAAGAUUACGAUUCUCAGAUUCUUUCCCUUUCAGAAAGAACACAAAAUGCACCAAUGGCUUGUGGCACGUUCGCACAGCGAAGUAUGUAGCAGUUGUCAGGCGAACCGUUUGCUCGCUUUGCAACCACCACUUGGUCACCAGAAUAACCUCGGCACACCCCACCGAUGAAGAUGGCCGAGAUGGAGAUGGCAGAGGAGGACAGUGUUGCCUUUUAUGGUUGGAAGACAUCCUCACCUAGCCGAUUCUUACACCCAGGGCUUACAACAAAAGAGGACUUUGAUGGGACUCUUCAACAUUUCAAAAUGGUGGCCAUAACAGUUGCCCCUGCUCAACAGGUUGAAUACGUCAAGGUGACGUUACUUUUCAGCUUCAGGUACCAGUUGAACCAGGGCAACAAAAUGUCGAUCUGACAUGGCUCCUUGGGACAAACCCUCAGCUGUUAAACGAUUUGACUUACAUUGAGAAGAGAAUAAUCGGGGAUUUGGAAUUUUCCGGCAAGUUCAUCCCCAGUGUGCACAAAAGACGACAGCUUUGUGAACUGCGCAGGCAAGUCAUGGCAAAUGUGCACCACACAGUGUUCACCCAAAUGACAGGCAAGCUGGGUGGGGGGGGAAGAGACCGAUCAAGGACAAGGCAUUGUGUGAAUAGGCAGUUUAUUGCUUGAAUACUGCCGAAUUAAAAGCAGAACACAGUACAGUAUCAAAGCUGUGGAAAUGUACCCCAGCCCAAAUGAACCACUUCCUAUAUACAAACCUGGUUUGUGUACAUCUACAAAUAAAUGGAGAAAAAAAAAAAAGUAGGGAAGCAGUCAACACGACGCAUCCAAAAUGCACAAAGAAAAAAAAAAAAAUGCACACACACACACAAAACACAAUCUCAUCUACAAU